rnacentral:tRNA from 1 species
AUUUAAAUAGCUUAAAUAGAGUAUAACAUUGAAGAUGUUAGGGUGGUAUGUAACCUUUGAAUA